rnacentral:rRNA from 1 species
CAGUAGCCACGGUAAUACGGAGGGUGCAAGCGUUAUCCGGAUUUAUUGGGUUUAAAGGGUCCGUAGGCGGAUCCGUAAGUCAGUGGUGAAAUCUCACAGCUUAACUGUGAAACUGCCAUUGAUACUGCAGGUCUUGAGUAAAUUUGAAGUGGCUGGAAUAAGUAGUGUAGCGGUGAAAUGCAUAGAUAUUACUUAGAACACCAAUUGCGAAGGCAGGUCACUAAGAUUUAACUGACGCUGAUGGACGAAAGCGUGGGGAGCGAACAGGAUUAGAUACCCCCGUAGUCCCUGUCUCUUAUAC